CUCUUGGGAAGUCCUCGUGUUAAAUACC
rnacentral:rRNA from 1 species